CAUUUGCCGUGUAAAAUUGGUUUCUCUAGUUGGAUUACGCUUUCGCGAAAGCGAGAUAUAUGAAGAUUAUAGGAUUAAAAGGGAAUCUAGUGUGAAUCUAGAACUGUUCCCGCAACUGUAAAGUUUACAUCUUUAAAGAAGAUGUCUCAUCGAGAUUUCUAUCAUAGGUCACUGAGUCUUAGACUUGGGAAGGCGAUAGAAAUAAAUAAGUCAGGAGACCUGCCAGCUUACACAAACUAAUU
rnacentral:ncRNA from 17 species